rnacentral:rRNA from 1 species
AUGGCUCGUAUCGCCGCACCAUGGGUGGCCCUUCUUCUUGUCCUCGUUUCGCUGCUCGCCUCCGCCGCCGCGACGUCGUCGGGGGAGCCGCAUUGCUGCGUAGACCACCACGUGUGGGGCAACGCGCUGGAGAACAAGGGGUGCAAGCGGGAGGAGAAGGACGACGAGUGCGACGCAUGGUGCCAGUCGGCCUGCCGCGGCGGCGAGUGCAAGAGGCGCGACAGGCUGCACUACUGCCACUGCUACUGCUGA